AUAACAGUUUUUAAUGCGUGAUGGCUUGGUGGUCGUAUGUAUGACGUCAUUUACUUGUUCUUUUAGGAGUGACAUCAUAUGUACGGCUGCUAAACUGCCACAUGGGACAUCAAUUAAGCA
rnacentral:pre_miRNA from 11 species